AUCGGUGCUCGCCGGAUGGCAUUGGCCUGCGUGACUCUUCGUCAAGCAAGUGAGAACAAAAAUAAGGAUGGGUGUAUCUUGGCUUUGAAUGGAAUCAAGCAUGAAUACUAUAAUCUGCAAAGCAGUCUGGAUAGCAUUGUUCAGUUGGAAAGGCGAAUUCUCUGUCAUAACGCUUGAAAUGCAAUGAUGAGGGAGCUGUGGUGUGGUUUUCCCACGAACGUGGAAAGAGUUGCUGCGAUAGUCGACCAGAAUAGUAGGACUCAAUUGUUGCCUUUUUUGUUUUCUUAAACGAUUGAACACCAAGACAUUUCAUCUUUGUGGUUGGAACCUUUAUAUGGCUCAAUUAACGAACCAUUCUGGAUCUGUUCUUUUAU